UUAGGGGAGGAGUUUACAUACUUCCUUCAGCUAAAGCUCUAAACUCAUGCUACAAGGACAUACACGCACACACACACACACACACACACACACACACACACACACACCCCUUGCCCUACAGGAGCAUUACAGACUAUGAUGGUUAGUUUUAGUCAGUUUGAAAGGAACUUUUUGCCAAAUCCACAGAGCACAUACUGACAGAUCUAUGAGGAACGAACAUACUGCCGGGAGUCAGCAGGAUAGAGCGAUAUCACCCGCUGAGUUUGAUGCCUUAUGGAAUGACCCUCCAUACGCUUUAGCAGCCGUCAGUGAGCUCUUUUCGCCCAAUGACGCCAUGACAGCUGGUAAGAGGAUUUCUUGAGUCAAGCA
rnacentral:lncRNA from 1 species